GACGAACGCUGGCGGCGUGCUUAACACAUGCAAGUCGAACGGAAAGGCCCUGCUUUUGUGGGGUGCUCUAGUGGCGAACGGGUGAGUAACACGUGAGUAACCUGCCCUUGACUUUGGGAUAACUUCAGGAAACUGGGGCUAAUACCGGAUAGGAGCUCCUGCUGCAUGGUGGGGGUUGGAAAGUUUCGGCGGUUGGGGAUGGACUCGCGGCUUAUCAGCUUGUUGGUGGGGUAGUGGCUUACCAAGGCUUUGACGGGUAGCCGGCCUGAGAGGGUGACCGGCCACAUUGGGACUGAGAUACGGACCAGACUCCUACGGGAGGAAGCAGUGGGGAAUAUUGCACAAUGGGCGGAAGCCUGAUGCAGCAACGCCGCGUGCGGGAUGACGGCCUUCGGGUUGUAAACCGCUUUCGCCUGUGACGAAGCGUGAGUGACGGUAAUGGGUAAAGAAGCACCGGCUAACUACGUG
rnacentral:rRNA from 1 species